AAAAUAAAUGCUAAAUUGGGGUUGAUUGUAGGAUGUAGCUUCGCUUGCGUGCGCCCGUGCGUUAUCGGUAUCUUAAAUGGCAGCUCAAGGAGAAAAGACGUGGCUGUAGCGAGAAGCAGAAGCUUGCAAAAGGAACUAGAGGACCGACCCCUCCACCACCAGCACCAUAAUCUCAUCUUCUCAUCCUCCCAUACAUUCUUCACUCGCAGACCUAACGAAGACCCAACAACAAACACAUUCACUAACUCCAGAUUCCUCGAUCACCGAUUAUUUUCUGGAGCCCUAGAAUUAUCGGACCUUCGGACGGUAUCGCUGCGCCAUGGGUGGUUGCUCUUCCUCUCUUCCAGGUAGUACUCCUGGUCAGCUGUCAGGUUUGAAUCAUGAGAACGGUGGAGCUGGAGCAAAUGAUUCUAAAAACCUACGGGUGAAGCUGGUACUGUUGGGGGAUUCUGGUGUUGGAAAAAGUUGUAUUGUUCUUCGCUUCGUCCGUGGUCAGUUUGACCCAACAUCUAAGGUGACUGUAGGAGCUUCAUUCUUGUCACAGACUAUAGCCUUGCAAGAUUCUACCACAGUUAAGUUUGAAAUAUGGGAUACUGCUGGCCAGGAGAGAUAUGCAGCAUUGGCACCACUUUAUUACCGAGGAGCUGCUGUUGCUGUUAUUGUCUAUGAUAUUACAAGUGUAGAGUCAUUCAACAAAGCUCAGUACUGGGUUAAGGAACUACAGAAACAUGGGAGCCCUGAUAUCAUAAUGGCUUUGGUGGGCAACAAAGCUGAUCUUCAUGAGAAUCGAAAAGUCCCUGCUCAAGAUGCUAUGGAUUAUGCGGAGAAGAAUAGGAUGUUCUUCAUUGAGACAUCUGCAAAGACAGCAGAUAAUAUCAAUCAGCUCUUUCAGGAAAUUGCUAAACGGCUACCCCGGGCGUCCUCGUCAUGAUAUUAUGGAGUGAUGAAUUCAUAAUUACUAAACAUGUAUCGAGCUGGAGUUCCCUUACCUAUAUGUUAUCCCUCUUUGUAUCAUUGAGUUUUGUGUCUGAUUUAUCUUUCAAUAUGCUCUAUUCCAUGUUGGGAUUCAGUUUAAAUUGAUAACGAUGUCAGAUGCUGAAUCAGGCUUCCAAAGGGGGGUGGGAUGUGGCAAGAAGACGUUAGCUUGAGGUGCAAUGUGCACAGAAUGUAGUGCCCUUGUUGAACCUCUCUCUCAAUUUCGGGGAUGCUUGCUCAGGUGGUAAUGGUAUGAAAGUUGAAAGGAAACUAGAAUACAAUUUUAUUGAUGACAAGAAGAGUUAUGGGAAAAAAGGAGAAGCAUUUCCAACUCUGUUGCCUGUUUCUACCAUGUGGAUAGAUGGGAGUUCCUUGGAUAGUACACCUAUAAUUUGGUGAUCUCAAUCAUAUAGUUGACAAAUGGGGCUUCUUGUUUUCUUCUAUAAUGGGUCCUGUUCUUCACCAGAACUGACUCUUUAAAAUAAUUUUCACUAUUUUGACACAGCAAUUUUGGAUUAGACUGAAAUAACUAAAUUAGUAGAUGAUGAUGUGGAUGACAAAUCCACAAAGUUAAGUUCCAAAAGCCAUUGCCAUAGGGCAGGAAAAGCCAACAGUGUUGUCAAGGCUUUCAAACCAAAAAGUGGAACUGGAUCAAUAUAUUUUACACUCUAAAACAA